UCAAGUAACAAGAUUACUGGCUUUGUUCCAAAUGAAAUAAUGAAGAUAUCAUCGAUAUCAAUGACUCUUGAUUUGUCCAACAACUUGUUGGAGGGACCGCUUCCUCUAGAAGUUGGGAAUUUGGUAAAUCUUGAACAACUCCUCCUGUCAAGAAAUAAAUUGUCAGGUGAGAUACCUGAUACCAUUGGCAACUGCAGAGUCCUACAAACCCUAUGUAUGGAUGAUAAUUCAUUCCAUGGAAGCAUACCUGCUACUUUCAAGAAUAUGGCAGGCCUCACUUUACUGAAUUUGACAGGCAACAAACUGAAUGGCAGCAUCCCUGGGAACCUAGCCAGCAUUACCAACUUGCAGGAGUUGUACCUUGCCCACAAUAACCUUUUAGGAACAAUUCCAGAAC
rnacentral:lncRNA from 1 species